ACGUAGAAGCGAGUCUCGAGGAUUAACCCAUGCAAGUGCCAGCUGACCUUUUGGGUUGGCCGCAGAAGGCUCCAUAGAACAGUUAUAAUUUGGUCGGUUGCAAGACGGAUAACCUAGCUAAGGCUGGGCUAAUACGGGGCAAGGGCUGUUUUUAGAGGAGACAGGACAGCGUCUUGGUCUUUUGAGACAUACCGAGUAGAUUUCUGACCCAUCAGCUCGGCGGUAGGAUCGGGGCCUACGGCGGCUACGACGGGUGACGGAGGAUCAGGGUUCGAUCCCGGAGAGGGAGCCUGAGAAACGGCUACCACAUCCAAGGAUGGCAGCAGGGGCGCAAAUUACCCAAUCCCGGAGCGGGGAGGUAGCGGAGAGACGUAGCGAUGCGCUUAGCGCAAUUGGACGGGGCUUGCAGUAAAUAAGCGAGCAAGAACU
rnacentral:rRNA from 1 species